rnacentral:rRNA from 1 species
GAUGAACGCUAGCUACAGGCUUAACACAUGCAAGUCGAGGGGCAGCAUGAACUUAGCUUGCUAAGUUUGAUGGCGACCGGCGCACGGGUGAGUAACGCGUAUCCAACCUGCCGUCUACUCUUGGACAGCCUUCUGAAAGGAAGAUUAAUACAAGAUGGCAUCAUGAGUCCGCAUGUUCACAUGAUUAAAGGUAUUCCGGUAGACGAUGGGGAUGCGUUCCAUUAGAUAGUAGGCGGGGUAACGGCCCACCUGGUCUUCGAUGGAUAGGGGUUCUGAGAGGAAGGUCCCCCACAUUGGAACUGAGACACGGUCCAAACUCCUACGGGAGGCAGCAGUGAGGAAUAUUGGUCAAUGGGCGAGAGCCUGAACCAGCCAAGUAGCGUGAAGGAUGACUGCCCUAUGGGUUGUAAACUUCUUUUAUAAAGGAAUAAAGUCGGGUAUGGAUACCCGUUUGCAUGUACUUUAUGAAUAAGGAUCGGCUAACUCCGUGCCAGC